GAAUGAAUGGUAUACUAGCUCGAGGCCAACACAUUUGGUAAAUUUCCAUUCCAACAAAAUAUGUACACCAAAACAGCCACCAUAUGUAUCUCUCUGUCCUCCCUCCAUUUCUUCAUCUCCAAAACUCUCUCACACACACACAGUGACAAGUGAAAAAUCACUAUGUCAUCCACCAUUCUCCGUUCCCCAAAACUCCCUUGUCCUCCCGAUCCAACCACCUCAAUUCCCCCACCCCACAACCAAUCCUUCUUCACUCCUUUACCAAAACGACGUCGUUGUAUCUCGAUCUAUACCUGCUGUACUGCCGGUGACCAAAGCAGUAACAGUGCAUUCGGAAGUGAAAUCAAAAAAGGACAAGCAAUUGAGUUAAAUAAAGUCAAUGAUGAUAAUCCUUACGAAUUUAAUGCUAAAGAUUCACCUAAUCCAUUGCCAAGGCCAUUAACGUCAGCUGAUUUGAGCAAUAUGGCUUCUGAAGGUUCUCGUCUUCGGGUUGCUUAUCAGGGUGUGCGUGGUGCUUAUAGUGAAUCAGCGGCAGAGAAAGCUUACCCCAACUGUGAAGCAGUUCCUUGCGAACAAUUUGAUACUGCUUUUGAAGCUGUUGAAAGGUGGCUUGUUGAUAGAGCAGUUUUACCAAUAGAAAACUCUUUAGGCGGGAGUAUCCACAGGAAUUAUGACCUUUUGCUGAGACACCGUUUACAUAUAGUUGGAGAAGUCAAACUAGCAAUUCGGCACUGUUUACUGGCUAACAAUGGUGUCAAAAUCGAAGACCUGAAAAGAGUUCUUAGCCAUCCGCAGGCUCUUGCUCAGUGUGAGAACACAUUAACGAAGUUGGGAUUGGUCAGAGAAGCUGUUGAUGAUACUGCUGGUGCAGCCAAGUAUAUUGCUUUCAACAAACUCAACGAUGCAGGGGCAGUUGCAAGCUUGGCUGCGUCUAGGAUCUAUGGUUUGAAUGUGCUUGCCCAAGAUAUUCAGGACGAUUCUGAUAAUGUCACCCGCUUCCUUAUGCUGGCUAGGGAGCCCAUUAUUCCUCGUACUGAUAAACCAUUUAAGACAAGUGUAGUCUUUUCGCUUGAUGAAGGUCCUGGGGUGCUUUUCAAGGCACUUGCUGUUUUUGCAAUGAGAAACAUCAAUCUUACUAAGAUUGAAAGUCGUCCACUGCAAAAGCAGGCUCUGCGAGUGCUUGAUGAUAGUGUAGAUGGAUUUCCAAAGUACUUCCCUUACCUUUUCUAUGUUGAUUUUGAAGCAUCAAUGGCUGAUCAAAGGGCUCAAAAUGCUCUGGGACAUCUGAAGGAAUUUGCUACAUUUUUGCGAGUUUUAGGGAGUUACCCUUCAGAUAGUGGAAUAGCUUGACAUUUACAAGGACUGGUUAUGCUUUGUGAAGCUCGUAAAGGAUUUUGAUCAGCUGUAUUUAGCCUCUCCAGACACAAAACCAUAUGGUUUCUGUGACUUCCAGAAAAGUUGUCAUCCUCUUGUUGAGCUUUAUAGAAUUAGUUGGCAUCUCAAGAUUUGGCAAGCAUGUAAAGAUGCACGCUGGUGAAAUUAGGCUGAAAUUCCACUAUGGAUAACCAUGCCACACUAGGAUGUGAUUACUGAUAUUCUUUUUUCAAUCCAGAAUUCAUCAUCUUUUCUGGUGUUCUCUCUUUAUUUUCUAUCCCAGAUCUGUUCUCUUUGGGGGUUCCAGAGCGUAUUGGUGAAAUGUACAUGAGCUAAGGAUUACAUGUAUAUGUGUAUGUGUACAAUGUGUGUUUGUAGAAUCUUUUGCCCUUAUUGGUUAUAUUUAUGAACAACACCCAUAAUUCUUUAUUUCA